UACGAAGGGGGGCUAGCGUUGCUCGGAAUCACUGGGCGUAAAGGGUGCGUAGGCGCGUCUUUAAGUCAGGGGUGAAAUCCUGGAGCUCAACUCCAGAACUGCCUUUGAUACUGAAGAUCUUGAGUCCGGGAGAGGUGAGUGGAACUGCGAGUGUAGAGGUGAAAUUCGUAGAUAUUCGCAAGAACACCAGUGGCGAAGGCGGCUCACUGGCCCGGUACUGACGCUGAGGCACGAAAGCGUGGGGAGCAAACAGGG
rnacentral:rRNA from 1 species